AGGAAGUUUUUUCCUUUUAUUUUAGUGAUGAUUGUGAGUGCAUUUGGCUCGAGACGUUCCUUUUUGGAGCAUCGGUGUGGAAAAACUCAAGCUACCUAUUUUUCUUAUUGUCUGACA
rnacentral:snoRNA from 1 species